AUGCGGAUAAUAUAUAGCCUUGCAAAGUUUGCCGUUUUCAGUCAUUUUGUAUUACAAAUGGGAAAUUGAUAAUCAGUUUGAUAAUGUGAUUAUCAAUUACCCGUUUGUAAUGCAAAAUGACUGAAAAACGGCAAACUUCGCAAGGCUAUAUUAUCCGCAUUU
rnacentral:miRNA from 1 species